rnacentral:rRNA from 1 species
AGUCGAGCGGUAACAUUUCUAGCUUGCUAGAAGAUGACGAGCGGCGGACGGGUGAGUAAUACUUAGGAAUCUACCUAGUAGUGGGGGAUAGCUCGGGGAAACUCGAAUUAAUACCGCAUACGACCUACGGGAGAAAGGGGGCAACUUGUUGCUCUCGCUAUUAGAUGAGCCUAAGUCGGAUUAGCUAGCCCCUUAAUAAAGGCCUACCAUGGCGACGAUCUGUAGCUGGUCUGAGAGGAUGAUCAGCCACACCGGGACUGAGACACGGCCCGGACUCCUACGGGAGGCAGCAGUGGGGAAUAUUGGACAAUGGGGGAAACCCUGAUCCAGCCAUGCCGCGUGUGUGAAGAAGGCCAUCGCGCGGUUGUAAAGCACUUUAAGCAGUGAAGAAGACUCUUCGGUUAAUACCCGGAGACGAUGACAUUAGCUGCAGAAUAAGCACCGGCUAACUCUGUGCCAGCAGCCGCGGUAAUACAGAGGGUGCAAGCGUUAAUCGGAAUUACUGGGCGUAAAGCGAGCGUAGGUGGCUUGAUAAGUCAGAUGUGAAAUCCCCGGGCUUAACCUGGGAACUGCAUCUGAUACUGUCAGGCUAGAGUAGGUGAGAGGAAGGUAGAAUUUCCAGGUGUAGCGGUGAAAUGCGUAGAGAUCUGGAGGAAUACCGAUGGCGAAGGCAGCCUUCUGGCAUCAUACUGACACUGAGGCUCGAAAGCGUGGGUAGCCUCUCUCUCUCACCCUGGUAGUCCACGCCGUAAACGAUGUCUACUAGUCGUUGGGUCCCUUGAGGACUUAGUGACGCAGCUAACGCAAUAAGUAGACCGCCUGGGGAGUACGGCCGCAAGGUUAAAACUCAAAUGAAUUGACGGGGGCCCGCACAAGCGGUGGAGCAUGUGGUUUAAUUCGAUGCAACG